AUUGAACGCUGGCGGCAGGCCUAACACAUGCAAGUCGAGCGGAUGAAGGGAGCUUGCUCCUGGAUUCAGCGGCGGACGGGUGAGUAAUGCCUAGGAAUCUGCCUGGUAGUGGGGGAUAACGUCCGGAAACGGGCGCUAAUACCGCAUACGUCCUGAGGGAGAAAGUGGGGGAUCUUCGGACCUCACGCUAUCAGAUGAGCCUAGGUCGGAUUAGCUAGUUGGUGGGGUAAAGGCCUACCAAGGCGACGAUCCGUAACUGGUCUGAGAGGAUGAUCAGUCACACUGGAACUGAGACACGGUCCAGACUCCUACGGGAGGCAGCAGUGGGGAAUAUUGGACAAUGGGCGAAAGCCUGAUCCAGCCAUGCCGCGUGUGCGAAGAAGGUCUUCGGGUUGUAAAGCACUUUAAGUUGGGAGGAAGGGCAGUAAGUUAAUACCUUGCUGUCUUGACGUUACCAACAGAAUAAGCACCGGCUAACUUCGUG
rnacentral:rRNA from 1 species